rnacentral:tRNA from 1 species
CGCGGGGUGGAGUAGUAGGUCAACUCGUGAGGCUCAUGAUCUCAAAACGUAGGUUCAAAUCCUGCCCCCGCGU